UACGGAGGGGGCUAGCGUUGUUCGGAAUUACUGGGCGUAAAGCGCACGUAGGCGGCUUAGCAAGUCGGAAGUGAAAUCCCUCGGCUCAACCAAGGAAGUGCUUUCGAAACUGCUGAGCUUGAGUACUUAAGAGGAUCGCGGAAUUCCCGGUGUAGAGGUGAAAUUCGUAGAUAUCGGGAGGAACACCAGUGGCGAAGGCGGCGAUCUGGGAAGAUACUGACGCUGAGGUGCGAAAGCGUGGGGAGCAAACAGG
rnacentral:rRNA from 1 species